UAAGGAAUCUUCCACAAUGGACGAAAGUCUGAUGGAGCAAUGCCGCGUGCAGGAUGACGGCCUUCGGGUUGUAAACUGCUUUUAUAUGGGAAGAUUAUGACGGUACCAUAUGAAUAAGGACCGGCUAACUACGUGCCAGCAGCCGCGGUAAUACGUAGGGUCCAAGCGUUAUCCGGAAUCACUGGGCGUAAAGCGUGUGUAGGCGGGUGUUUAAGUGAAAUGCGAAAUCUUGUGGCUCAACCAUAUAGACUGUGUUUCAUACUGGAUACCUUGAGGAUGGCAGAGGCAAGUGGAAUUGAUAGUGUAGCAGUGAAAUGCGUAGAUAUUAUCAGGAACACCAAUGGCGAAGGCAGCUUGCUGGGCCAUAUCUGACGCUGAGACACGAAAGCGUGGGGAGCGAACAG
rnacentral:rRNA from 1 species